GACUUCACCAGGGACGUGAUGGCGGAGAUCCUGCUGCGUCUCCCGCCGAGCUCCAGGCGCCGGGCACGCCUAGUCUGCCGGCUCUGGCGCGACGUCGUAAACGAGCGCACCACGGAGGCGCAGAGCCGUCCCAAGCUCCUCCUCUGGAGGGCCGACAAGGCCAUCGCCUAUGUCUCCAGCGACCUGUCGUCGCCGUCGCCGACAGGGANNNNNNNNNNNNNNNNNNNNNNNNNNNNNNNNNNNNNNNNNNNNNNNGCUCUGCAGCUGGUCGGCACUUGCAACGGGCUGCUCUGCCUGUGCGACAACACCAAGGGUGUGGGUGGCACCAUCACCCUGCUCAACCCAGCCACCGGCGAGGAGCUUCCAGUCCGGCCGCUCCCGUGCGCAGAAUCGUUCAUCAUCGGGACCCAUCGCUCGAUCGGGUGGGGCUACGCGUACCACCCGACCACGGGGCAGUACAAGGUCGUGCACGUCCCGUCCAGCCACGACCGGGUCUGUGAGUUCAACGCCGUUCAUGUGCUCACGCUGGGGGAGCCCACGUGGCGGGAGGUGCCGGUCGACCCUGGCGACGUGAUUAGCAGGCUUGCCGCUGGUAUCGUAAGCGUCGAUGGCAUGACAUACUGGGUUAGGGUCACCGGUGGUGGCGCGGCAAAGAUCAUGUCAUUUGACCUCAACGACGAGCGUGUCGUCUCCACCACCAUACCGUUGCCAGUCCGACGUGAUCACUACCGCCUGGCGGAGGUGCAUGGAAGGCUGGGAUUUAUCGCCGGGCCUAAUGUAUGGGUUCUGGAGGAAGGACAACGGUGGAGCCACCGGUACAACUUUAAGCAAGAUAUCCCACGACGGCACUUUGUGUAUGGCAAGUACGUCCUAACAUAUGAACGACUCUUGUAUUAUAAGCACAUGUCGUCUUUAGGCCGGACACCAACGAGCAAUGAGGCGGUGUGUGUUGGCCAUUGGGAUAAGGGGACACUCAUUGCAAACAUGGCGACGUGUGAAGAUAGCUCCCACAGAAGUUAUGAGGCGUUCGCCUAUGUGGAGACCACGGAGCCGCUCGGUGUUUACGAA
rnacentral:rRNA from 1 species